rnacentral:snRNA from 2 species
AUACCUUUCUCGGCCUUUUGGCUAAGAUCAAGUGUAGUAUCUGUUCUUAUCAGUUUAAUAUCUGAUAUGUGGGUCAUUGGCCCACACGAUAUUAAAUUACUUUUUUAAAGGGGAGAGUCCGUCACAGUAGCUUGCUACUGGGCCUCUCACGUGUCGCCUAAGCGUUGCACUAAAGCUUAGGCCUGGCACACCCUCC